GCCGCUGGCACUAGGUGGUGCCCGUACACAGGCGGAGGGCCCGGCGCUGCCCGGCCGGGGCAUGGAGCAAACCUGAGGGCCGCCCUGGGCAGGGGGUGCUGGGAAGGUGGAAUCCGCGGGGUUCUGCCGAGAGGAACGGCUCGUGUGUUAUGCCAUCAGAUCCAACGAAAAGACGCAAAACCCUUUCUCACCAUGUGGGCUCUGAAGAAGCAGUGAGGGCCGCGUGGGACUGAGGACACUGGAGUCCCAUCAGCACAGGAACAGGAGAAAGGCACAGCAAGGUCACCUUCCAGCUCUGAGCUGGUGCAGAAGAUGGAGGAGCGGUGCAGAAGGCAGGUGGGACUGGAGACCCUGCAGAAUUAAUGGUCUUCAAUCCAGUCUUCAGGCUGCUGAGCUCCUCCUUUUGUACAGUCCUUUUUCAGAAGCACAUCUCUGAUUUAUGCAGCUUGACAAAAUCCUAAACCUGCAGUCUCCUUGUCCUCCUGUUAAAUGGCUUGCAUGCGUCUCCAUCCUCACCAUGCCUUCUCAGAGAGCACUGGUGUUGUGCAUCUCUCCAUCCCUCCGAGGUGCAUUUGGCCUUCCUUCUCUGCGAUUCCUCCCCUUCCCUUUUUCCUGACACAGACUCAAGUUUUAAAAAUCCAUUUUCCUUCUCUGAGCCACCAUUAUGCACAAAUACUUCUCUGCUCUUCUUCACAUGCCACCAAUUUCCUCCAGAACCUAUCACUCUCAUCUAGCUGCUUAACUGUGUAAUGAUAUGAAAUAUUCACUCUAAUGAGCCCCUGCUGUGGAUACCACUUGAUCCUGCCUUGUUUUUGUUCUUUUUGACUCCAACCUCACUGAAUGUUCGACUUUCCUUCUCCCAAAUUUCAAACUGCUUCCUGAAGCUACACCAUACGUGCAUAUGUACAGUUCAUACAACAUACGUCUUUUCUGCUGAUGUUUUCAGAAGGAACAAGGGCUAUCUUGAUGGGAAUUUUCAGCAAAUACCACGUGAUCAGUCUCGGACAGCUGCCAUGGAAACUUCAUCCUGAAGUUUUGCAAAGUAGAUGAAAAUAAAAUUUUGUAAUGAAAAAUGUCAGGGAACCUAAAUAGCAGACUGUUCCUUGGUGGUUAGUCCUUUGGCAAUUGGAAAGCACAGAGCUGCCAGCCCUUCAGCCUCAUGCACAGAAAUCAGCAUAUGUGGGACGAACAACCUGAUUAAAUGAAUACGAUUUAAGUUUUCAAGUAAAAGGGAAUCCAGAAGAACUACCCUAGUUGUGGCUUUAAAUACUGAACUUCUAAAUACUACCUCUGUUUUCUAUACCUUUGUGAUGCACCUACACAAACUAAUGGAAGGAUGAAAUGAUAGCACAGGGGCCUGGAGAUUGCUGCAUUCACGCUUUGUUUGCUUUGCUCAGGAUGGAAAGGCAGCAGGGUUGGGAAGAGCCAGCUACAGAGGAUGCUCUUCUGACAUGGUGGUUUGUUCGAUGGGCCUGAUCUAGAACUAUCUCGCAUAAUUAAGAUCUGAGAAAAGACAACCUUCUGUCCCUUCCCCAUAAAUCUGUGUUUGCAUUCAAAUGGUGAGUUGGAAUAUUGGAGUAAGUCUUCUUUUUUUCUUCUCCUUUGGGAUAUGAUAAAUUUUGCAAUUGCCAGAAUAAAUACAGAUUUAUCUUAAGGGCGGUUGUUCAUUUUUUCCUUCUUCUGUAUUUUUUUUCUUUUUUUCUGAGAAUUCCUAGCAGUUUUGAGAAACUCUCUGGGUGCUGUGGGAGUCUUUCCUUUCCACCGCUCCAUUGCUCAAUGUUCUCACAGUCUUGCCCAUUCCUGUUUGCCUAUCUAACUACUGUUUGGGAUAAUCUGUGUUUCCUAUCCAAAGCCGUGUUAUCAGGUCAUUCUGCACUGAAAUACUGCGGUCCUCCAAGACAAAAACAACUGUGUAUCAGGGAUUUUUAUCUUCCUUCUGCUGAGAGUUUCCAGUGGUGAAUGUAAGAAAGUGAAUCAUUUCUAUGCAAGGUGAGUGCUUUUUAAUUGACCCCUGGCAUAUCUGGAACAGGACACCAAGAUUUAGAUACCUAAUAUGCCUAACAUAGUGUAAAUAAACCAUUCAUACAUGAAAUGCAUAAUCCUACAGACACCUCGUGGGACCUGUUCUGCUUGAACUCUUGGAGACAGCGUGUUAUUCCUGUGGACAAGCUUGGAUGAAAAAAAGUGGUUCAUAGAUAUGUGCAUGUAUUCAUAUUCACCCUUCUCCUAUCCCCAGAGCCUGAACAUUUGUUCAGAAAUACAUAUUCCCCAAGGAAAAGAAAGUCCACUGGCAGCAUUUGGAAGUCUGAACAAAAUUUUAAACAAAAACUUUAAUAGGAUCAAAUCCAACCUACGUAGACUGCUGUAACAGGGAGAGCUGCUGGAGUUUUGUCUGACUCUGGGACUUAUUCUAGGAUUAGAUUAUUUUUAAAUUAUUAUUAUUUUGCUAGUUCUAGCAGUGCUUUGGGGGCAGGAUAUUUGUUUCUCCAGGGCAACAUGGCCCAAGUGAGAGCACUCAUCAGUGCUGGCUGCCAACCUGAGAAACAAUGUGGUCCUGGCCUGGCCAACCCCAUCUGCUCCUCUCCAUCCCUCUGGCCCCUGCCUGACAGGCUGUUAAGACAAGGAAGAAAACUGAGUGAGAUGACAAGAGCCAAAGGAUUUGCUGAACAUGCCUGGCUCAAUAGUGGCACUGCUGGCAGGUGGCAUUGCUCUGUCCAGGGUGGACACACAGAAUAUAUCCUUCAUGUGGGAGAAAAGCCCAAGUCUCCACAGAGGGAGCCGUGGUGCUGUGGGUGUUUUCUUCUCCUGUGUGGUGUGAAGUUGGCUUUUCUGCCCAUGAUUACAGGAAGCUGAUGUAAUUUAUUUUAUUUUUUUUAUUAUUAUUUUGCUUAUUUAAUAUUAAAGCCCGUUCCUUCUGCUUGCGUUAUAGGCUUGGCUGUCUUGCAGGUAGCGGAGACCUGUAGGGCUGUUAUCACUUGCCUAGAUCCACUGCUGAGAUACGGGGCAGAAAACUGGCUCACAGCAAAGGAAAAGGAGGGCACUGAGGAACACAGUCCUGCAGAGGCUGUCAUGCAGCUCUCCCACCCCAAAUGGCUGCAUGGCACAGGGCCAGGGUAGGUGCAAGGCCGGGAGGGGAAAGGCGAUGCUGAGGAAUGUGCUGCCGCGCAUUUCUGCAAGUUCCCCCUCCCUGGCAGAGGACCGCAGACUUGGCAAGCGUGAUGGAAAGCUGUCUGCCCUUGCAGCUCCCCAGGGACCUGCCCUGGCACUUUGCCUGGCUCUGGGCACUGGGCACUGCGGUGGGUAGCACAGCUCACAUAAACAUGGGGUGAAUGUGCGCACACCUAUGGAAGACAACGUAAAUUUCCCCAAACAUCCCUCACGGCGCUGGAACUGAAGGCAAGAAGAAACUCUGGAUAACAUGGCUAAUUAGCCUGAAUACAGCACUGCACCCAGGGAAGUAUCAUUGCUUGCAGGGCUGGAGUGAGGGCCCCAGUGAUCUGCAGAUUCUCCAAAUAGGCAAGACAGCUCUGCAUUGCGCUAUGGAGACUCUCAGACUUCACACAAAGUGAGCAGGCUUGAGCCCCAGAUGAAAGUCAGAGCAAGAACUUGCCAUUGUGCUAGUAAACAGUGUUUCUGGAAUCCCUGUUAUGGAGAUUGAAUGAAAUUUGGGGCAUCAUUUUUAAUUUGUGGGAAAAUAACUAAAUAUCGCUACAGGGUGAGUUUCCAAAAUACCACAAACUCGAAGAAAUCUUAAAAUCUCUCUCAGUUGCUGCUAUACUUUCUUAUGCAAAAUGUUUUAAACCAGACUCCCAAAGGAAAUGACACAGGGAGUCCCACAGUGCAUCUUGCACAGGUGUGCAUAUGACUGCCUUUGCCUCAACGUUAACUUUCAAAAUCAUAGGGCAAUAUCAACCAAACUGCUGUAGGAGGUUUAAUCUUUACAAGGCUACAUGGCAAUAAAUAUCUGAUGAGAGGAUGGACAGGGAGUGCGUAGUCACCGAUGAAGGAAGUGGGACCACAACUGUUUGUAGAUGCCAGAGAAUCCAAAAGUGCACAUCCCUCUCAACUGUAGGAUCAGUUUCAGUAUAAAUGUUUUAUUUAUUAAACACACACACACACAAAAAAAAAUGCAACCACAAGAUGCCAAGACAUAGGAAAACAAGCCUCAUUACUUCCUGCAUUUGCAGAGCUAUACUUCCAUAAGAGACUGUGACUUCCAGAAACCCUUGUACACUUUGAUCCUGUGGUAGCACUUAUAAAUUUCUAUCUCAUUUUUGGAUUCUGUAAUGAAUGGGGCUGUGGCCAUGCUCUGAAGAAACGGGUGUACAAGUGGAUUCCUCUUCCUUUACUUUCCCCUUUCUUGUCCUCUUCACUGAAAUAUGAACGACUUAAGUGUAUUCUUCAGUCACAGUAAUUAUUUGCCUGAAAUCCCUCCCAAACAAGUUGCCUUUAGUUCAGUUUAGUGAAUUUUUUGUUUUUUCUGUUCAGGCAAUGGGGAGAAAUUGACAGUUGAUGUUCAUUGCCAAUGUUGUGCUCUGGUGUUGGGACAAGAGAAUGAGCCAACAGCCUCCGUGGUCUGAGAGGUAAUGUUAUGAGGGCACCACAUAAGCUCUCACUUCUCAGCUUUCUCACUUACUCCCCAUAUUUCCUCUUCCAGCAUGUGUAGUCUAUGUCAGAGUCUGGAAGAAAUACUUCAUGUCUCCUUCUCCCAUUGGUGUUUUAUCUGCAUGUGGGUCAGCUUUCGGAAGCCCUCUGUUUGCUCUGUGCAUCUGUUACGCUUAUGUUUUAUGAGGUGCUAUUGAAUUGCUAACACUCCUGUGCACUGCCACAGAAGCAGCAAGACCUCAUCUUGCUGGAUGGAGCAUGUCCCUACCACACUGCUGGCCAGACAGGUCCGGUUCUUUUAAAUCUAGUUUGCCGAGAUUUCUCUUUCUCCACUGAGAAUCUGGCCAGAAUUGAUUUUUGAAGGCAUUGUGCUCUUUUAUGAAGUUGACUUUUGUGAAUAUCUGUGAACUGCGCUGAUGGACUUAAACCAUUUUCUUGAUGUAUCACACCCUUCAGCAUCACAUAAGCAGGGAGAUCUGUGGUUUUUGUUUUCUUUUUUCUUUUUUUAUUUUUAUAGAGGUCCCCGUUUUGGUCACAUGUUGAAUAUAACUUAGGUGUAUGGAUUGUUGCAGACUGGAAAAACAGGCCAAGACUUAGCUGGAAAAGUUGGGUACUUGGAAAGCAGGAGUGGAAACUUUAGUGGUGAGAGGAGGUAAUCAAGGCAGAGGGAGCCCUUGAACAAAGGAGGAGACCCCAAACCACGGUGUGUAUUUGUCUUUGAUGCUGGCAGAGUUAUGCAGGCCCUAAAGGAAGCUCUGCACUGCUGGAGGUCCGCUUUCAUAUUAGACACUGGACCCAGGUCCUAUUUUUUCUGGCUCUGGUGGCUGUCCAGGAGGAAGUGAGAGAUCCUAUGACACUUGUUGGAAGACAAGGACGUGAUCCCAGUGCUGUGGAUAAAGUUUCUGUCUGGCAAUAAAGUACUUUGAGCUCUGUGGAUCGUGUUAGCAGGUGCCAACAUCAGGCUUCACAGGCUGUUUGUUAAAGUUGCACGGUGCUCAGCUGGUGUAAGACUUAGAUGGUGGAGUUGCAGGAAUUUUUCCUUUUUUCCUCUCUGUUUCUAACAUAAAUUUGGCUGAGAGUGGAAAAUGAAUUAUAUCAUUCAAACCUGCCUUUUAAGGGUAAUGAUCUGAAUGGAAUUUGGUACAAAAAAAAACCUCAUGAUGUGCAAGCAAUUGAGCAUGGGCUGCCUAGCAGCAGAUAUUUCUAGGAAGAUGGUGUAGAGCACCGAAAGCAGAGAAAUUUUCUGGUGCAUCAAUGAAGUCCCCUAAGCUACCAGAAAUGAGUACCUUGUGAAUCCAUAGUUGGCCUUGAAAGGAACAGCAGAAUGAAAGAAGGGUCUGUGCCUGUGAAGAUGAUUUGCUGAUUAUCAUUUAAAGCAUUUUGAUGGCUAAGGUGAAGGUCAGUCCAUUGCUGUGUUUCUCUCUCUCUCUCUCUCUCUCUCUGUUUAUUUAUUUUGCAAUUAGCUGUGGCAUUUUAUAUGGAGUAAAAAUAUGAAUAGCAUCUCUUAAAAUGAAUGCUGAGGUGAGUGGAAAGGAAGAACAUGAGAAACAAGCAGAAACUUAUUUAACAGGCAGGUUGCUGAAUGCCUUGACUCGAAGCGUUGCGGCUCUUAGCAUAUGAUUUAUUGCUAAUGCCCCUUCCUCUGGCUGGCCUUCAGCCUUUGAUGUCAGUCAGCUCCGCAUCCAUUACUUUGCGAUGCAAAGUGAAAGUGCAGCAGCUUCGGUUUGUUCCCUGUUCCUUCCUGAAAUUGCUGUGUUGUUUGCCUCUUCGUGUUGGUUUGCUUUCUCGCCCUCCCCACGUAGCACCUUCUCGUCCGUGAAGAUACAAAGCUGGAGUUGUGUGCGUGCACUUUGCAUUGUCUGGCAGUAAAUGGAGCCUUUUAGCCAGGGCAAGACUGAUGUAGGAAUGUAAGAGAUCGUAUCUGGGGGAAAAAUCAAUAUUAAGAUGUACAAUUGCUCCCAUGGUAUUGAAAGAAUUAGUUGAUCUACAUGCCAAAUGACAGCCCCCUUGAUAACAGGGAUUAUGUAGCCUGUCUUUCCAGGCUGUGCUCUGUUGGGGCUGCUCUCUGGGUCCCUGAGGCAGAGAUAAUCUAAUUAGUGCAACAAAGACCAGGGCGAGGGAAAAAGGGGGGGGUACUGCUGAGAGGGGCUGCGGGGAGGUGGAUUGAGGAGUCUAACAGCCAGAAGCAAGCUCCAGAAAAAAAAGUUGCAGGGGAGGAGAAAGCAAGGAGUGCAGUGUAAUUGUGGCUUUGGCUCCACAAACAUUGGAAAUGAGGGACCACCGGGCUAUUGCCAGACAAGCCCCAGAUUAGGAAGUGCUUACAGCCUUCACACGAGCUUGUUCAGUCUCACCCUCACAUAAGAGGGAGCUGAGAAAUAGGACGGUGGUGUUGGUCUGGGUUGAACAGGGAUGUGCUCGUGCAUCGCAAAGUCACAGGCACCUGCUGUAAAAAAAGUGCUUGCAAACAAUUAAAAUUGAUUGCCAGCAUCCCCACUGACCCCUGUGUCUAGCAAAUGUCAGCUGCAAUGAGAGCUAGCAUCCCCCCCAUGACUCUGCAGGUUUUGCAGGCACGGUGUCUGCUCUGUCGGUGCACGCUCAGCGCCAUCAGCACCAUGUUCCCCUGAUUGCUGACUGUUUUCAGCCAGACCUGCAUGCAUGGAGCUGGGGGAACAUCCUCAGUCGGUGCACAGUGAACCGAGUGCCAAACAGACUGAAUCAAUGAUAAUGACCCAGAAAAUAAUCAUGGAAGCCCCUCUCUGGGCUGGCACAUGACUUCUUGUUGUCUGACUUCCUGGCAGCAUGUACUGGUACCUGAACAUUUUCAGUCUUGCUUUCAGUGCCAUUUUUCCCUGAGCAAUUUGUACACCACAGCCUUAGGCUUUUGCAGUCCAUUCCUAACCUUUUGUUAAGUGUAGUUCCUGGAUUUAUCCUUUGCUUUAUGAACAAUUCCCUGAAGUUUAAAUCUGAACUUAAGUUCGAUUCAAUACCAACUUGCUUGAACGCUUUGGUGGCUGUGUCUAGGAUUUUGGUCCAGUUCUCUCUCCAAGGCAAAUAUUGCAAUUGCUCUACCAUGCUAAUGAGUACAGGCAUUUUUUCAGGCUCUGUAAUCUUGCAGAUUGAGGAGACUGAGUGGCUGAAGGAAGGAUCUCUCACAUCUGGAAUCUGCUUUUUUUUCCUAAGGAUCAUGAGCAUGAGGAGUUCAGGCGUUUUUGCACAGCUCCCCACUGACCCUCGAGUUCAUGUCAUCAGACCCAAUCUCGUUGUGUUGGCAAGUACUCACACAAAUAAGAGCGUACAACAAUGGGGUCUUUCUUCUAGCAGCUUUCCUCUCCCUCUCCCCUUGUCCCUCGCUGCUUCUCUCUCCUACACUGGAGAUACAACAUUUGGAGACAACAAGGAUGAGAUCAUUGCCUUGCAAGGAGUGACAAGAAAACUGGCUGCACUGCGCUGGGCUCCAUGGAGCCUUUUCCCAGGGAGGAGAUCUGAUGUUAUUUCCCUAUCCGCACACGCACGGAGACAUGAGCUCUCGGGAGAUGGUGCUUGCCAGCCGCUCUGGUAGGAGAGCAGAUAAGGCGCAGAGACGAGGAGCCAUCAAAACACAAACGUCUAGCCCAGACUUCGCAUUCCUGGCUUUGCUGUAUUUACUUACUUCAGUCACACGAGCUUAUAAAAUGUCAUUAGCAAGGCAUGGAGUCCUGACCCAUUUUGGAGAUAUCUAUGCUGGGGAUACUCUGUGAGUCCAUAUAGUCCUUCACUUCAGGUGUGAAUGUAGAUGUAUGAAUUUAUAAACAGUUUUUAGAUUUGCGCUGUGCUUUAGAAGUAAAUAAAACGAAUUUAUUCCAUGAGGAGUGGAACUGAGGACACCAGAUCUCAUACGGAUUUCCAUGCCAAAACUGCCUCAAAGCUGCAACUACAGGUUAUUCCCCACACAUGUUUGGUAGAGUUCUCCCCUUCCCAGAACUGUGCUGCUGCAUUCACCUGAGCUGUAAGGUAAAAACCCACGUCCCAACCCUCUUCUCAGCUGGUGGCACAGACCCAAACUGGCCAAGGGUCUCUUGAUUUGUGCUACAGCCUGUCCUUCAGCAGAGACAUUUAUAUGUUUGCUCUCCCUCUCCAGUCCCCGUUUUCACCAGAACUGUAGGAAUUUCCAGCACUGACCAUCUGGACUCACGUGUGUUUUUUCAAGCGUGUGCUCUCUGUUUGCUCUGAAAUAGAAUAAAAACAACCCAGCAGAAGGUAAUUCAAUAAAAACUGUAUUUGAUAGACCCAGAAAAUUAUUUUUUAAAGAAAGACUACUGCUUAAAAGCUCAGAUGCAGAUAUUCCUUACCAUCCCAUUCCCGUUGAAAGUUCAGAUUUAAAUCACCUACCUUUCACUUUAUUAUGUUUAGCAACAAGAAAUCUGACAGGGGUUUUCUCAAGCAUCCUGACAAUGGUUAACAACUUCCUCACAGUUUACUUUCUGGUACUGUACUUUUAUGUGACUGUUAAGGUCUGGGAGAUAUUGAGACUUUUAUUUACUUAUUUUUCCCACUGUGAGCACUAGGCUGCUGCUCUCUAGCUGAGGAUUCAAUGUACCAUUGCUAAAACCCAAGAAGUUGCCUUGCUAUGGGAUGCUAUGACAUACAAAUAUCUGUUGGAGAGCCAACACCUUUUGUGCAACCAUCCCAGCAAAAUGUGGGCUGCUGCAUGUUGUAGUAAGCCUUUCUAUCAGCCAGAAAACUGCCAUUCUCCUUCCUGUAGGACCUUGCACUUUGUUAUACUUCUGUAAUGAAGAGUUUUGCAUCAAGUGACAAAUGGUUGCAACUGCUCUGGCUGGCUGUAAGCAGUGUGUUCCAAGUGUAGCUCCUUCGUUUGGCAGACAGCACAACUCUUGAUAGAAACCAUAGUAAAUUACCACAUUAUUUAACAAUUACUUACAGUGCAUUCCCUGAUCAUUCGGUGCCUUGGGAUAUUGUGCAUUCUGCCUAAUUGCAGUUUAAACAAAAAUGUAUUGCAGUCAUUAUGCCAUUAUGUGUGUGGAGUAUAAGGAAUAGAAUCGAGCAAAUCACAUAAAGCUGGGUGAGACUUAACUGUCUACAUGGGAAUGUUGGGAACUGGGUCUCUCACCCUUGCAGGCCACCAAGAUAAUUUCUCAACUACUAAGCAGUAGCUGGUUUAAAGAAAAAAAUCUAUUAGCUUCUCCACACUCCAGGGAAACGUCUAUCAGCAAAACUGAUUAGAGAUAAGAGUAAGCAGAUGUCAAAACAGAAGACCACCAAAGAACUUUGGUUCUGAAGUGAGUGGGUGAGUGAGUGGGGAGAGAUGCAGCAGGUAGUAAAAGUGGGGUGAAUUGUUAUGGCCUGAUCUGGUGCCAGUCCUGCUCUCCUUCCAGCUCCAGGGAGGAUUUUGGUAAAGAUGUUAAGAUGGUCUCGUAGGUGAGAAGAAGUCUGCCUUUCACAACCAUUCUUCGGUGUGAUUUGCAUCUGCACGCGUGCUUUGCUUUGCUUCACAAGCCCUUUCUUUAACCUAAACAAUUGAAUGGAAAUUAAAGUGAGAAUGAAGAACCCUGCGAGGGUGUACCACAGAAUAUCUUCCUUCCAUAAUCACAGAGGAGCUGAAUGCAAACAAUCUCCCUCUGUAGAAAGCAGUUCUCUGUAGGACUCUGUUUUGUCACAGGCUUCAGCUGAACCAGGUCCCUGAUAUAUGGGAUGGCAUAAGGUUUAAAAAAGGAACCGACAUUCUGAUUUAGCUUCCAUUGCACGAACCGAUCCCCGAAUUUCAAUAUGUUGGAAGAAUAUGUAGGCUUUAUCAAUAUUUUAUAGAGGAAGUCACGAGGAUAAAUCAUUUUAUUAUGCCAAAGGAUUCCUACUGGGCUGGAAUGAAGUUUUUCACCCACUCAUCCUUAUGAUCAUAUCUAAAUAUGUUAAACCCCAGGUUUCAUGCUCACUCCCAUUCACUUGUCCUCCUUUGCCAGCCACAGCCAGCCAGUGAGGUGUGCUGGCACUGUUUCCAGAGAGAUGCCCACAUGCCAUGGAAAGAAGCUGCAGGCACUCCUCCCAUCUCACUGAACUGCCCUUUUGGCAUUGCCUGAGCAGGCCUGUGUGAGAGGUGUUCACUUGCUUUCUUCUGCAGUUUUUCCACUUGGCUUUCCUCUUUGGCCAAGGAGAUGAGAGCUGGUGGCCCAGAGAUGCAGAGAACAGGAUGCAUAUCCCCAGCCCUCCCUGUCAGCCUGUGGUCAUGCCAGAGCACAAAGCAGCUCACAGCCCAGCCUCCCCCUGGCUUUUUCUCCACCUUAAUCCUGGGAUUCUCAUGUGAGGAUGCGAGGGGGAGCUUUUCCAGGUGCAAAGUGUUUUUGGCACUGGCUCUGCCUAAACAAACCGCAUGCUGCCAGUGAAGCUCUGAGCCCACAGCUCAUCACUCCUGAGGAGCACUGAUGUGAAACCAGAAAAUCUGGCCACACACUGCUGGCAGGUGAACUCCUACAAGAGACGGUAACCAAAUCCAUGCAGGCUUUUCCACUCAGCCUCUGCAUGAAAGGAGCUGGAAAGGCCAGACAAAUCCCGGGCAGAUGCUCUGUGUGUUUUGACAGCAGCUUCCAGCCUCCAACAGGAAAAUCUACUUUGUUUUGCUGAAAGUGAAGCUAGAUCGAAAUUGCAGAUUUUUCAAUUCUGAGAUGUGCUUGUCUCCUCUACAGCACUGCACCAAAGUGGGACAAGAUGAACUACAGUGACACCUCCUCUUGGCUUAGCUUGUACCUGCAUUUUGCUGCAGUUGUGCCUUGCACCUGCUUCAAGCUGUGAUAUAUCAGGUCUUCGGUGGCCAUCCAGGAACCAUGUCUGCAUUUCAGCAUGCUCAUAGCAGCCAGACUCCUCCAGCCCUCCCACCUCAGAGCUUCUAGGCAGCCACACAGCAACCAGAGAAGAUUCACCUGGUCUUCACAAACACUGUGAAAAAUCACUGUGAGAAAAAUCCUAUUCUGAGCAAGGGUGUCAGCACGCCUGUGCAACUGAUGCAAAGGUGGGGGGAAGAUGUCCUGUUCCCAGGCACAACCUUUGUCCUUGGCUAUCACCAUUUAUUUGAAAGAAAAAUGGGAAUACCGAUGGGGACAAGAAAAAAAAUGUGCAAACUACUAUUUUGAAAUAUUCCUUGAUGUUCUUCCUUAAAAAAAAAAAAAAAUAACACGCAGAGCUUCAACCUGACUGCUGUUAGUAUGAAGAAGAGAAACUGAUGAAAGCCACAGUAGAUUUGCUUCAUUGGAUAACAUAAUACAUCAUUCAAAAGAAAGUUGAAUAACAUCCUGCUCCAUGAAGGCAUGCAUUCCUGGAGGAGCGGAGGUCCUGAGAAUGUCAAAAGCUCUUGAAAACAGGUCCAGCUACCACUUUGCCAGACACCAUGGCAAAGACUUCUCUGGGAGCUAAUUUUGGAUAAUGAGCAAUCAGCAGGGGCAGAACAUCCUGGUGAUGUGAGAGAGGAGAAAAGCAAUAAAGAAACUAAGCUUUGUAAACAAUUUCAGCAGAUGUUCUUGAAGAAAUACCCAGGCAGUUCUCAUGCUCAAAUCUGUGCUGGAUCAGUGGGAUGUCAUCAUGCUCACCUGGGUGCUUUGAAGAUGUUAUGAAAAUCAGAGAGAAGAGAAUGCAAGGGGAGAGAAGGUUAUUUGUUUAUCACAGGAAUGAAAGCAGGCAUUUAUGAGAUGCCAGCUCAAAUGCUCAAUUUUUGUCUUCUUUAAUUUGUUGGUAAAACAUCAGGACAGAGACAAAGCCUUUCCUACUUUAUGCCUGCAGUGCCAGUCCUCAUCUUAGCCCACAGGUCAACCCAGCUGUUAAGGAUAUGUUAACUUUUAUGGGGUUGUAUAGUGUGAGUUUUCAAUUACUUAAUCUGUGCAAACUGGUGAAUGUAAUAGCAGGAUGCUACUGAUAGCCAUUAUUAUUUCUUGAAGUGGUAGUCUUGUAUAGGGAUAGCUAUCAGUAGCUAUCUAAGCACACAAAGAAAUGCCUUCAGUUUUUGGUCCAUGGACAUACCCCACUCUUCUACCACUUCUUUUAUCUGGGCUUUUUUACCCAAACUGGGCAUACCCACUCUCUCUAAAAGGUGCUUUCAGGGUUGAUCAAGAGCCCCUUUCACAUCAUCUCAUUUGCCUUUGUCCUUUCACUGCUCUGUGUCAAAGACCAAUCAAUCAUGAAAGGAAGACUGUGAUCCAUUUCCAGGAUGAAUUUACUUCUGAUUAACUUCUGGUGUAAAUGAGCAGGAUCUUGCAUGCUUUGUUCAGUGUGGCAAGGUGACCCCCGUAUCUAAUGCCUCUCAUCAUUAUUCUCAGCACUGCAUUGUAGUCAAUGAAGCAAGCUGCUACCAUGCCUUCUGGCACAUAGGAGGUGGCAUCCUCCUUCUGAUCUAAUCUAUCUACAAUUGAGAACAGUUAUGUCCCUGUAUGUGCAGGGGAUAACUGGCUGGAAAGUAGCUCUGACUCUGCUGAGGAGGAUCAUGAGGUAAACAACAAGCUGAUGAAGGACCAGCAAGGCAUCUUCAUGGCCAGCAGCAUCCAGGACUCCAUUAGGAUGUGUGGCCAACAGGUCGAGAGAGGUGAUCCUUCUCCUGAAUUCCAUACUGGUGAGGCUACAUCAGGAGAUCUGGGUCCAGUUAUGGGCUCCCUAGUACAAGAGGAAUAUGAACAUCCUGGAAAAAGUUCAGCAAAGGGCCACAGAAAUGGUGAAGGGAGUGGAGCAUCUCUCCUAUAAGGAAAGGCAGGGAGCUGGAACAGUCUGGGAAAGGAAAGCUUAGGAGGAUCUCAUCAGCGUUUCCAAAUAUCUCACAGGAUGGAAUGAAGAAGACAGAGCCAGGCUCUUUUCAGUGGUAGCCAGUGUGAGGACAAGAGGUGGCAUACUCAGAUUAAAACGACAAAAUUCCAACUUAAUAUCA